CUGUGAGUGGCAUUGACAAUCUUUUAAAAGUUUUAUCUGGACUGUUAAUGGCAGUUAUUCAUGAUCUGUUAACCUACGGGUCUGCUUUUUAAAAACAAAACGGUUAAGAACUGCAAUUUUGUGUGUUGAUUUACACAACACAGUUCUUAACAGCCCUCAGAAUGAUCACUGUAUGUAAAUCUUACUAACUAACAGUCAUUGACAAUCAAGGUUUAAGUUGUAAAAGACAGUCGCUAUCAUUCGUAUGAACAGUCACACUUAGUCAGAAAAUGACUGUACAACUAAAACUUUUAGUUAUUGUUUGGUCCAUAGUGAAAGUAUUUGACAUUCCUCAAGGUUUAGCAAUGAUAGUCAUUUUUUAAUUGUUUUAAAUAUUGCUCAUGUAAAUAAAGGUAUAGUGUAAAUAUGAUGUUUUAAAUUCCCUCAGAAUGGACUAAAGUAGAUUAUAAUGUAUUGACUGUAUUUGUUUAAAUACCUUGAUAACUUUGUGCAAACAAUUGGACAAUGUAAUGAAUGUACUUUGAAGAUUUUUUUAUCAUAAUGAUGUAUAUAUCUACAAUGAUGUUUUUUUCCUAAUUUAUCUUCAUUUUUUGUUGGACAAUA
rnacentral:lncRNA from 1 species